AAUGGGGGCAACCCUGAUCCAGCCAUUCCGCGUGAGUGAAAAAGGCCUUCGGGUUGUAAAGCUCUUUCGGCCGGGAAGAAAUCGCAUCUCCUAAUACGGGGUGUGGAUGACGGUACCGGAAGAAGAAGCACCGGCUAACUACGUGCCAGCAGCCGCGGUAAUACGUAGGGUGCAAGCGUUAAUCGGAAUUACUGGGCGUAAAGCGUGCGCAGGCGGUGAUGUAAGACAGAGGUGAAAUCCCCGGGCUCAACCUGGGAACUGCCUUUGUGACUGCAUCGCUGGAGUGCGGCAGAGGGGGAUGGAAUUCCGCGUGUAGCAGUGAAAUGCGUAGAUAUGCGGAGGAACACCGAUGGCGAAGGCAAUCCCCUGGGCCUGCACUGACGCUCAUGCACGAAAGCGUGGGGAGCAAA
rnacentral:rRNA from 1 species